rnacentral:rRNA from 1 species
GAUGAACGCUGGCGGCGUGCCUAAUACAUGCAAGUCGAGCGAACAGACGAGGAGCUUGCUCCUCUGACGUUAGCGGCGGACGGGUGAGUAACACGUGGAUAACCUACCUAUAAGACUGGGAUAACUUCGGGAAACCGGAGCUAAUACCGGAUAAUAUAUUGAACCGCAUGGUUCAAUAGUGAAAGACGGUUUUGCUGUCACUUAUAGAUGGAUCCGCGCCGCAUUAGCUAGUUGGUAACGUAACGGCUUACCAAGGCAACGAUGCGUAGCCGACCUGAGAGGGUGAUCGGCCACACUGGAACUGAGACACGGUCCAGACUCCUACGGGAGGCAGCAGUAGGGAAUCUUCCGCAAUGGGCGAAAGCCUGACGGAGCAACGCCGCGUGAGUGAUGAAGGUCUUCGGAUCGUAAAACUCUGUUAUUAGGGAAGAACAAAUGUGUAAGUAACUAUGCACGUCUUGACGGUACCUAAUCAGAAAGCCACGGCUAACUACGUG